rnacentral:rRNA from 11 species
ACGGGUGAGUAAUGCCUAGGAAUCUGCCUGGUAGUGGGGGAUAACGUUCGGAAACGAACGCUAAUACCGCAUACGUCCUACGGGAGAAAGCAGGGGACCUUCGGGCCUUGCGCUAUCAGAUGAGCCUAGGUCGGAUUAGCUAGUUGGUGAGGUAAUGGCUCACCAAGGCGACGAUCCGUAACUGGUCUGAGAGGAUGAUCAGUCACACUGGAACUGAGACACGGUCCAGACUCCUACGGGAGGCAGCAGUGGGGAAUAUUGGACAAUGGGCGAAAGCCUGAUCCAGCCAUGCCGCGUGUGUGAAGAAGGUCUUCGGAUUGUAAAGCACUUUAAGUUGGGAGGAAGGGCCAUUACCUAAUACGUGAUGGUUUUGACGUUACCGACAGAAUAAGCACCGGCUAACUCUGUGCCAGCAGCCGCGGUAAUACAGAGGGUGCAAGCGUUAAUCGGAAUUACUGGGCGUAAAGCGCGCGUAGGUGGUUCGUUAAGUUGGAUGUGAAAUCCCCGGGCUCAACCUGGGAACUGCAUUCAAAACUGUCGAGCUAGAGUAUGGUAGAGGGUGGUGGAAUUUCCUGUGUAGCGGUG